GGUCCCGUGGUGUAGUCAGGCUUAACACGCCGCCCUGUCAAGGCGGAGAUCGCCGGUUCAAAUCCGGUCGGGACCGCGA
rnacentral:tRNA from 1 species